CGUUGAUCCGCCAUUACUGUUAAUCACGGCCAUCGACUGCUGCUGCUUUGGGUUUAGAAGACGGCACGCUUCUGCUGGAUGGUAAAGAUGUAAACCAACAACAUUCUCAGAAUGAAGUUCAAAGAAAUAUAUUUUUUUCUUCAAAACCUUUUACAUUUCAAAUGUUUUGGGAACGUGAAAAAGCCCUUCCUGUAGUUUAAAGGAAGAAUCUGCGAAGAGAAUCAUCUCCCUAUUCCUAUGCUUGGUUGACCCCAGGAGCAAGUUUCGUUAUGUUGGAACAGCAAAUUGUCUUCCAUUUUGAUGCUGGUUCACCUUUUGCCACCCUCUCAAGUCGCCGCCACGUAAGACCAGGAA